rnacentral:rRNA from 1 species
AUUGAACGCUGGCGGCAGGCCUAACACAUGCAAGUCGAGCGGCGCGGCGGCCGGGUGAGUAAUGCCUAGGAAUCUGCAUGGUAGUGGGGGAUAACGUACGGAAACGGGCGCUAAUGCCGCAUACUAGCAGAUGAGCCUAGGUCGGAUUAGCUAGUUGGUGGGGUAAAGGCCUACAAAGGCGACGAUCCGUAACUGGUCUGAGAGGAUGAUCAGUCACACUGGAAAUGAGACACGGUCCAGACUCCUACGGGAGGCAGCAGUGGGGAAGAUUGGACAAUGGGCGAAAGCCUGAUCCAGCCAUGCCGCGUGUGUGAAGAAGGUCUUCGGAUUGUAAAGCACUUUAAGUUGGGAGGCGUUACCAACAGAAUAAGCACCGGCUAACUUCGUGCCAGCAGCCGCGGUAAUUC